AUACUUACCUGGCAGGGGAGAUACCAUGAUCACAAAGGUGGUUUUCCCAGGGCAAGGCUUAUCCAUUGCACUCUGGAUGUGCUGACCCCUGCGAUUUCCCCAAAUGUGGGAAACUCGACUGCAUAAUUUGUGGUAGUGGGGGACUGCGUUCGCGCUCUCCCCUG
rnacentral:snRNA from 1 species